CCUACGGGAGGCUGCAGUGAGGAAUAUUGGUCAAUGGGCGCAAGCCUGAACCAGCCAUCCCGCGUGCAGGAAGACGGCCCUAUGGGUUGUAAACUGCUUUUCCAGGGGACGAAUAGUUUCUACGUGUAGAGACCUGACGGUACCUUGGGAAUAAGCAUCGGCUAACUCCGUGCCAGCAGCCGCGGUAAUACGGAGGAUGCAAGCGUUAUCCGGAUUCAUUGGGUUUAAAGGGUGCGUAGGCGGAUUAAUAAGUCAGCGGUGAAAUCCUACAGCUUAACUGUAGAACUGCCAUUGAUACUGUUAGUCUUGAGUUUGGUUAAGGUAGGCGGAAUGUGUAAUGUAGCGGUGAAAUGCUUAGAUAUUACACAGAACACCAAUUGCGAAGGCAGCUUACUGGACCGACACUGACGCUGAGGCACGAAAGCGUGGGGAUCGAACAGGAUUAGAUACCCGAGUAGUC
rnacentral:rRNA from 1 species